ACCCUCGCGACCUUGCCGGGAGGCCCGCCCCUCCCAGGCACACCAUGGCCAGACUCGCGAUGUGCACAGCGGGGAUUGGCAGGCAACCCCAUGCCCAAACCCUAACCCCACGCCAUACCUCUCCCUCUCUCCCAUGGCGCCAGAUCGAGCCGACGAGAUCAGUCCGCGGCCAGAUCUGCCACGGCCACAGAGGGCCUUCCGGAUCCGCGCCGUAGUCGAGCUGGAUCCGUGCCUUGUCGUGUGGCCUCGUCUGCCUCCGCGACUGCGCCACAGGCAAACAUGAUGUCGCAAACCCGCUCACCUUCCGCCACUGUCGCCGUCCGUUUGACCUCCUCGCGACCUCGCCGGGAGGCCCGGCCCUCCCAGGCACACCAUGGCCGACGUCCUCAAGGAGGAGGAGGAGGACGACCAGGACAUGCGCGACCCCACCCUCGAGCCCGACGAGCUUGACGAGGAGAUCGUCGAGUCCGACCUCAAGCACACUGAACAGUCGGCAGAAUAAUCUCUGUGGAGGAGUGGCGCAAGCGGAAGAUGGAGCGGGCGAGGCAGCUGGCGAUCGAGAAGGACGGGAUGAUGCCUGGCGCGAGAACACCGUGAAUGAAGCGUGCCCGUGUACCGCAAGCGUUCCAUAACAUGAGGGGUGCACCGACGACAACACCGCCCCUGCCGAUGGGUUUUAUGUAGACCUCGAC